rnacentral:misc_RNA from 1 species
AGGUCAACAGGUUUUUUUUAUGCAGAAGUGGUUACCACAAGACUUGAUGAAAAUGGAGUUCCUCUAUUUAAAUACAAUGCCGCAAUAGAUGAGGUUUGGUCCACUCAACAGAAGCAUUUAGAAUGCAUACAGGAUCCACCUGAUAUGCAUAUGUACAGGGUAGCGAAGAUUAGUACAAAAAAUGGAGUUGACAUCCCAUAUUACACAUGCAUCCGAGGAAACAACAGCCUGGAAGGAUUUCAUAGUCAUUUGCCAAAAAUGAUACCAGGGCCCCAUUGUGCUGCACAUCCCUUUCAGGUGUACCUCAUUAGUGGCAUUGCACGGUGGAAUGCCGACAGACAGUCACAGUCAGUUUUUGGUAGGAAAGGAAGACACCAUAGAGCCUACUCAUCAUCAUUGGUCCAACGGCUGAACAUGAGGUGCCAGAAACUGUUCGGUGAAAGUGAGGAGGAAAAUUUUAGAACUCCUGCACAAGCAACAAGUGAACUACUUGGACUUGACUACCUGUUUAAUCAGUCAUCGGAUCCAACUACGCGUGAAAACUUGCAGAGUGAUGGCCCAAGUAUGGAGGAAGAAGUCACCAACAUUAUUGACGAUGGUGCUGAUGAUGGUGGUUAUGAUUCAGAUAGUUGUUCGUUUUAAGUUAAACCCUGCCAUGUUGUAUACACAUCAAAUGAAUCAGCAGUAUCCCAUGAUCCAUCAUGUGAAGAUGUAUGUAUGACCAAGCAACACAUUGAAGGGUUCGAAAGAGUUGAGGUUCUCAGUCAAUUGUUAGUAACGCUUGUCAUGGACAAGGUACCAGUGAUACCCUCUGAUAAAAGGGAACAGAUUUUUGAAGCCUGGAACAACCUUGAAUCCCAUGAUAAAUCAUGCAAAAACUUUCGCACUGCUUACAAAAUGCAGUGGGGAAAUAGUCUGUAUGGACGAACCAAGGGUGAUGAAGUAGAAGCCACAAUAACGCAGCGAAUUAAGAACCGCCAUCGAUUUGCACCUGCGCAGACCAUUGACAUGCAAAGAAAUCGUUUGAUGUUUUGCGUUGUAAAACAGGUAUGGUUGCAUGGCACUAAUAAUACUCUGAUGUUUCGGAUGCAGCACUACCACCUGCCCCCAAAUAUCCAGCAACACAGCCUGAAACUACUUGGCAAAAAAAUCUAAACAUUUUUUAUUUUGUUAUUUAAAGGAUGUUGUGUAUGAAGGAUGAUGCAAAGCAUGGGGGGAUGAUAACAGUAAUGCAAGUAUACCAGCAGCUGACCAUUGUUGGUUGAUGGAUGACCAGGAAAGGGGUAUGUUGGACCUGUACAGAUGUAUACAGACAUCAGUGGGGAGAAGCGAUAUCGACGAGUACUAAAAAAUGAUAGAAUGUGGUUCUAUUCACCAUAUUGUCCAGGCCAUGUAGGUGGUAGGCCCCCCCCCCCCAAUCCAGAUGCCUUUUUUUCAAGCUAAGUUGUUUUUUGGCGGCCGCUUGGUGUUUGGAAGUAUAUUUUGAGAUGUCCUCGUCCGAGUUGACCUGCUAAAGGUCAACAGGUU